GGCGAGGGCAGGGUGUGGGGUGCGCACAGCUUCCCUCCUAGGCGGCGACGUUUACCCAGAAGCAGCUCCCUCUCGUUCCGCUACCAACAGAGGCUUCCGGUCAGCGGAGGGUUUGCUCCGUCUCUUGGUGAACUUGAACAGAGGCAGAGGCAAAAGCAAAACGUUUCUGCGCCAGGAGAUGAGGGUCGGUAGAGCCCUGGAAUGGAGAUGUCCUUGACACCUGGGCAGAGGCUGCAGCUGCAGGACCCUGUGGCCACUGGAGAUAAGUAAUGGUGCCAUUUGAACACCUACUGGAAACGGGGCAGGAACAGUGAGUGACCCCAGGCGAGCACAGGCAGGUGCCAUGAGCCAGGAUGCAAGGAUGAUGCCUCCGGAGGCCCUGGCCUCCCUCCCACCUGGGCGCUAGGAGCCAUCCCGGGGCU
rnacentral:lncRNA from 1 species